rnacentral:rRNA from 1 species
GGUGGUUUCGAUUAUGGCUCAGAUUGAACGCUGGCGGAUGUUUUACAUGCUGCAAGUCGAACGGGCAGCACGGACUUCGGUCUGGUGGCGAGUGGCGAACGGGUGAGUAAUGUAUCGGAACGUACUAGUAGCGGGGGACUACGUGCGAAAGGUAGCUAAUACCGCAUACGCCCUUCGGGGAAAGCGGGGACCUUCGGGCCUGGCACUAUUAGAGCGGCCGAUAUCGGAUUAGCUAGUUGGUGGGGUAACGGCUCACCAAGGCGACGAUCCGUAGCGCUGGUUUGAGAGACGACCAGCCACACUGGACUGAGACAUUUGUCUGACUCUACGGAGGCAAGUGGGGAAUUUUGGACAAUGGGGAAAUCCCGAUCCAGCCAUCCCGGUGCGUGAUAAGGCCUUCGGGUUGUAAAGCACUUUGGCAGGAAAGAAACGGCAUUGGAUACACUCGUAACUGACGGUACUGUAGAAGGCACUGGCUAAUCAUACGCCAGCAGCCGCGGUAAUACGUAGGGUGUUGUGUGACUGAUGAUGCGUGAAGCGGCGGUUCUGGAAAGAAAGAUGAAAUCCCAGAGCUUUAACUUUGAACUGUAUUUAACUACCGAGCCAGAGUGUGUCAGAGGAGGUGUGGAAUUCCGCGUGCAGUGAAAUGCGUAGAUAUGCGGAGGAACACCGAUGGCGAAGGCAGCUCUGGGAUAACACACUGACGCUCAUACGAAAGCGUGGGAGCAACAGGAUUAGAUACCCUGUAGUCCACGCCUAAACGAUGUCAACUAGCUGUUGGGGCUUUCGGCCUUGGUAGCGCAGCUAACGCGUGAAGUUGACCGCCUGGGAGACGGUCGCAAGAUUAAACUCAAAGGACUGACGGGGACUCCGCACAAGCGGUGGAUGAUGUGGAUUAAUUGAUGCAACGGAAAACCUACCUACUUCCCGACGCCCAACCUGAAGAGAUUUGGAGUGUCGUGCGAGAACCGGAACACAGGUGCUGCAUGGCUGUCGUCAGCUCGUGUCGAGAUGUUGGGUUAAGUCCCGCAACGAGCGCAACCCUUGUCAUUAGUUGCUACGAAAGCGCACUCUAAUUUUGCAUCGCCGGUGACCUCCAGUGGGAGGAAAGGUGGGGAUGACGUCAAGUCCUCGCGGCCCUGCGGUAGGGCUUCACACGUCAUACAAUGGUCGGGACAGAGGUCGCCAACCCGCGAGGGGGAGCCAAUCCCAGAAACCCGAUCGUAGUCCGGAUCGCAGUCUGCAACUCGACUGCGUGAAGUCGGAAUCGCUAGUAAUCGCGGAUCAGUAUGUCGCAGUGAAUACGUUCCGGGUCUUCCGUACACACCGCCCGUCACACCAUGGGAGUGGGUUUUACCAGAAGGUUACCUAACUGUAAGGAGGGCGAUUACCACGGUAGAUUCAUGACUGGGGUGGUCGUAACAAGGCAG